rnacentral:sRNA from 1 species
UGGAAGUUUUGCAACCUGCAUCAAAAAC